GGCCCUAUAGCUCAGGGGCUAGAGCACUGGUCUUGUAAAUCAGGGGUCAUGAGUUCAUAUCUUGCUAGGCCUG
rnacentral:tRNA from 1 species